UACGUAGGGUGCGAGCGUUGUCCGGAAUUACUGGGCGUAAAGAGCUCGUAGGUGGUUUGUCGCGUUGUUCGUGAAAACUCACAGCUUAACUGUGGGCGUGCGGGCGAUACGGGCAGACUGGAGUACUGCAGGGGAGACUGGAAUUCCUGGUGUAGCGGUGGAAUGCGCAGAUAUCAGGAGGAACACCGGUGGCGAAGGCGGGGUCUCUGGGCAGUAACUGACGCUGAGGAGCGAAAGCGUGGGGAGCGAACAGGAUAGAA
rnacentral:rRNA from 1 species